UACAGAGGUCUCAAGCGUUGUUCGGAUUCAUUGGGCGUAAAGGGUGCGUAGGCGGCGCCGUAAGUCAGAUGUGAAAUCUUCGGGCUCAACCCGGAAACUGCAUUUGAUACUGCGGUGCUUGAGGACUGGAGAGGAGAUCGGAAUUCACGGUGUAGCAGUGAAAUGCGUAGAUAUCGUGAGGAAGACCAGUGGCGAAGGCGGAUCUCUGGACAGUUCCUGACGCUGAGGCACGAAGGCCAAGGGAGCAAACGGG
rnacentral:rRNA from 1 species